AUGUCUAAAGAGGCGUUGAUUGGAGUGGAGGGUAUGAAACUGCACACUGAUCUCUUUGAACACAGGCACCUCAUGGUGGAAAGGCAGCUGUCCAAUUUCGUCAUUGACACAGAUGUUGAAUUCCUGAAUCUUGGUGGACAAUGGGGGAAUAUUUUCAAUCAGGCACAGAAAUGCCUUGAAGUAAAUAGAUUUAGAGAGUAUACGGCGGCCAUUGAAACCUUCCGCAGAAGAACAGAAACAGCCUGCUCUGUCAGUGCCCUUCUGGUAUACUUUAAUCAAAAGGCUUUGAAAUUAGAAAAAAAAUCCAUAGACAUUUUGCUUGAGUUGGAAUAUGGUGUGCAGAACACAGAAUGUUAUUUUGACCUAUUGUGGAAUGUCUCAAAACUUUUUCUUUUACUUUGGGCAGCAAGGAGACACUAA
rnacentral:lncRNA from 1 species